CCUACGGGUGGCAGCAGUGGGGAAUAUUGGACAAUGGGGGGAACCCUGAUCCAGCCAUGCCGCGUGUGUGAAGAAGGCCCUCGGGUUGUAAAGCACUUUCAGUGAGGAAGAACGCCUGGUGGUUAAUACCCAUCAGGAAAGACAUCACUCACAGAAGAAGCACCGGCUAACUCCGUGCCAGCAGCCGCGGUAAUACGGAGGGUGCGAGCGUUAAUCGGAAUUACUGGGCGUAAAGCGCGCGUAGGUGGCUUGAUAAGCCGGUUGUGAAAGCCCCGGGCUCAACCUGGGAACGGCAUCCGGAACUGUCAAGCUAGAGUGCAGGAGAGGAAGGUAAAAUUCCCGGUGUAGCGGUGAAAUGCGUAGAGAUCGGGAGGACUACCAGUGGCGAAGGCGGCCUUCUGGACUGACACUGACACUGAGGUGCGAAAGCGUGGGUAGCAAACAGGAUUAGAUACCCCUGUAGUC
rnacentral:rRNA from 1 species